rnacentral:lncRNA from 1 species
GGCAGCCUCCUGCCCUCGGGGCACUCGCUCCCCCGAGGUGUACUCCCCGAGGGCUGGGGGAGCGCAUUCCCUCCUGUCCUACUGAUUAACUUUCAGCAAAUGGGGCUGCCCAAAGGAGCAGACAGCGAGUGACCUGUGGCCCUGCUGUUUGAUUCUGGAUGGAGUUACGUUUAGGAGCCUGGCAGCAAACUGGGGCACCUGUUCAAUUAGUGAUGAUGCCAUACUCUGGUAAGAGAGCCAAGGCUGCAUGGGUGAUGGGAGGUUUCUGUUGGGACUGACAUGGGCACACAACGGUUUUGGAGCAGGGCUGGUGUCCUAACAUAAA